AGGGCACUACCAGGAGUGGAUCCUGCGGCUCAAUUUGACUCAACACGGGAAAGCUCACCUGGUCCGGACACUGGAAGGAUUGACAGAUUAAGAGCUCUUUCUUGAUUCAGUGGGUGGUGGUGCAUGGCCGUCCUUAGUUGGUGGAGCGAUUUGUCUGGUUAAUUCCGAUAACGAACGAGACUCUAGCCUACUAAAUAGGUGUUCCGAUCCCAUCAGUCGGACGCUCUUCUUAGAGGGACAAGCGGCGUUUAGCCGCACGAGACAGAGCAAUAACAGGUCUGUGAUGCCCUUAGAUGUCCGGGGCCGCACGCGCGCUACACUGAAGGAACCAGCGUGUGUCCCUGUCCGGCAGGACUGGGUAAUCCGUUGAACCUCCUUCGUGAUAGGGAUAGGGGCUUGUAAUUGUUCCCCUUGAACGAGGAAUUCCCAGUAAGCGUGAAUCAUCAGUUCACGUUGAUUACGUCCCUGGCCUUUGUACACACCGCCCGUCGCUACUACUGAUUGGAUGAUUUAGUGAGG
rnacentral:rRNA from 1 species